CUCUCCCCUGCUGGGCAGUCCGUGGCAGGGCCGUCCAUCCUCCCGCUGGCUGGUCCCCUGCCCGCACGAGGGCGUAGCCCUUCGCUGGCCUUGGUUCUACCCUAAGGAUCCAAGUCCCCAGGAAGUAUAUUAGCCCAUGGCCAACUCCAGGACAGCUACGUGGCGGGGCUGGGAUCUGGACCCUGGCCUCUGCGAUGGUAGGGCUUAGCCUUUUCUAGGCCAUCACACUGCUGUGACCUUCAGAGGAGAUGGGAGAUGGCAGCCAGGCGAUCGGAAGCCCAUGAAGGCUGCGGAAUGAUGCCGAGCUCUCUGACGGUGAACGUCUGUACCUUUGCAAUAAGUGUGGAGGUCAGCCCCUUCCAGAAACAAUGAAGGAAUCAUUAGGAAGGCGUGCAGGGAAAAGAGACAGAUGCCAUCAAGGAGGUCCCACGUCCUUCCUUCAGGGAGCACGCUGACAUCGUGACCUUUGAAGACUUGAAGAUCUGAGUUCAAAUCCUGAUUCUAGCAUUUAUCAGAGCCCAGGGCUGGCCUGGAACCAGGUACUGGUAGAGCAUGUUUUCCCCCAAGGAGCCUCUGUGGAAUCUGGCUC